rnacentral:misc_RNA from 1 species
GGAAAUUCGAACUACAAAUUGUAAUGUUUUUUUAGAAAAAGAUGGCAAAUAAUGACUUCUUAUCCUACUUUCUCGCCACAUCUUCUGUUGCAAAAUUGUCUCUCUCUUACUGUUGGUCUUUUCCCUCCCUUGAACAUUUACGGUAAUUAAGAAGAAGCAAGAAGGGCAACACCAGGUUUGUAGUUCUCUGUAUAGGUCAUCACCUGUUU